AUGUCAGCUCUUAGGCCAGCUUGGGGUAAUCCGAAAGGAUUAGUUGCAAAACUAGUAGGAAAGAAUACAUUCAUUGUUGAAUUUGCUUCCCAAGACAAGGAAAGGGUUAUAGAUGGGGCUCCUUGGACAGUAGGAAAGCAUGCAGUUUUACUGAAUGAAUUUGUUCAGACAUUGAAACCAUCAGAGGUGGCUUUUGACAGAAUAAUGUUAUGGGCAAGGAUAAUGAACCCUCGGUUUGAGCUGAUGAAUAAAACUUGGGGACAGUCUCUAGGGGGCAAGCUUGGUAAGGUGGAGAAAGUCGAUGUGGAUGAACAAGGUAGAGCAUGUGGUAAUUGCUUACGGGUUAGAGUCUCAGUCGAGGUAGCACAACCUUUGAGGAGAUGGGUCACGACAUACUCACAGAAACACCAGGCAACAGAAAUAUAUGAGGUUAGAUAUGAAAGACUACCUCACUAUUGUUUCUCCUGUGGCAUCAUUGGUCACUCCUGACUAGAAUGUCCAACACCAGGAGAGAGAGAUAAGGAUGGAAAACUACCAUACAAUGCUGAUAGAUUGUGUGUCAAAGAGGAUAAAAAGAAGGGUUUUUCAGUGUCCAAAUCUGGACAAAGUUCCCAGUCAAGCGGCAGAAGCUCAUAUUAUGAAGACAAGCAUGGGGACUCACUUGCCUCUCCAAAACACAAUAUUGGAGAAAGAUGCACAGAAAGGAUGGGCUUUCCUGAAGAGGUUAACUCUCCAAUGAAAUCAAAGGAUAAUUCUUACAAACAAGAGGGUAAAUUGGAGGUUGGCACGUCGAGCAAGGAAUUGUUUCCUGCAAUGUCAAAAGAUGCAAAAGUAACCGGACACAAGAGAAAACAAGUGAAGGUGUAUAGACCAAAAAAACAGGUGUAG
rnacentral:rRNA from 1 species